AACAUGCAAUGCCUUUUCUGCGGACUGCAUCCCGAACAGAAGCUGGAGUCAGUACAGAUCUUUAAAUCCCUGUUAUUUCCACUGAAUUUUGGAUGCUUCCUGCCCUUGAACACUGGACUCCAAGUUCUUCAGCUUCAGCACUUGGACUGGUUUCCUUGCUUCUCAGCUUGCAGACAGCCUAUUGUGGGACCUCACCUUCUGAUGGUCUAUUCUUUGGUAAUGACCCUGCACAGUGAUCACAUGGAGGAGAAAUGCUGAUGUGAUCUAUUCACACACAUUAGUGGAUAAGCUCACUGUGAAAGACAGGUAAGAGCUCAUGUUUUCCCAUCCAUGUGGUAGAAUGACAAUCUAAUUAUAGAAACCUACAUGCCUCCUGGACAUUGUUUUUGAUUUCCCUACUUGUGUCCAUUCAGAAAGUAGUAAUAUUUCCAAAUGUAGUAGUAAUAUUCCCAGUUCGUAGAUACAUUGAGAAUUUGAUUCCAGGCCACUACAAUAAAGCAAAUAUUGCAAUAGUGAUUUGCA
rnacentral:lncRNA from 13 species